UUGCUGGUUCCGUCUCAGCACAGCCUGGCUGCAGCUGGGACAGCAGAAAAUGCAAGAGUUUAGGAUGGGAGGGCAUGAGCUGCAGGGUCUCUGGUCUUUGUGACCCAAGUCCAUCCUGGAUUGUACAUAAAAAUCACAUCUUGCUCUCUAAGCUAAUUUUUUUGUAUACGUAUUUUUGUAUCUAAAAUUUUUAGCAAUUAAAGCAAAAAGUUUUAUUCUGCUUUUUGUUUUAUAAAUACUGACUGUUUUUAACCAUUUCUCUCUCCUCUUUAAUUAUUUUUUUUCCCUCUUCAAAUAUAUCUAGGAGACUGUCCUUUUUUAUAGGGAUGAGGAUGUCUUAUUUCUCUGGAGGAACCAAAGGGUGUAGGAAGUCCUGCUAGCUCUUGGGGCACAGUUGCUCGGUGGAAGGAAGACCAGAGCCCUGACGGGAUGAAAAGCAGCCAGGAGCCAUGAGAAGGAGCUGUGCCCUGGCUUCGCUCUGUCAAAAAGCAGAAGAGGCCAUGACACGUGACCUCCCCAAGGAGUCUUCCAGAAGAAUACCUGUGAUCAGCUGGAUGUUGUGUUGUGUUUCAAAGAUGAUGUUUCCUCCUGUCUCCCUGUUCCUGGUGCAUACAUAUACACACAUGCAGAGAGCGACUCACUUGCACACCUGCACACAGAAGAUUUUUCAGAAGAUACAAAUUUCGCCGUAGAACAUAAAUGAACUCUCUUUCAAAGGUGGAUCCCACUGAGCUGGGGGAAAGGGGCUCAGCCCUUCCCCAAACCAGUGCCUGACUUUGAAGGUGGGGACAGGCAGAUCUCUGGAGUGCCCCCCUCCUCAGGAGCCAGGGAUCCCAUCAGGAGGAGGAGGAGGACGAAGAGGAGAGGCACAGAAACGCUCUGGAGAGUCUCAGGGAAGGUCCUUGCAGGUAUUUGCUGGAGUGGCUCGACAUAGAUUUAAGUGUCAAGCAACACGUCAAUGGCUCCCGUGCUAGCUCAGCCCCACAGCAGUUGAUACUGCAUCCAGCUGAACAGCCGCACUAAGCCCAUGCCAUUCACUGCAGCUGUUUUCUGCUCUACGAGCUAAUUAAUUAGUUUCUGCAAAGUCCUUUGAAGGGGUAAAGCGCAGCAUUAUCCAGAGGGUGUGGGCUUCAAAGCUUAAUGGGCGCUACUUGGAUAUGAACAGAGGUAGUAAACUUGGUUCAUAAUUUCUUUAAAACAUAAAAGAGCAGGGAAAGCAUCUGAAAAAAAACCCCCAUCAGUCAUUUUGGUAGUGCUGAGCCUGAGGAAGAGUCACUAAAAGCAGCUAGCUCCCCAGUGGAUGAGCAACUGACUUCCAGUUCCCCUUGCCUGGCUUUCUACCUCAACUUACUGGCAUAACCAGGAAAAACCUUUCUCCUUCAGUAAUUUUCUAUUUUAGAAGUGAUUCGGUAAAAGCGGGAGAAUAAAAGUGCUGAGAAAUAACAGAAGAAAAGCAGUCCUUUCAGAAAGAUCGGUGGGUAAAUUCAGGUCAGUAGAGAAAGUUCCUGCGGUACCUCUGCGGUAGCUCAGCCUCACUUCUCCCAAAUCCUCAUCAAAUUUUUACGUGGCAGCUAGCCCUUGCGUGGACAUGUGGAGCAAGUCCGGCUCACGGGGAUAAUGGUCAUUCAGGCAUGUUGGGUGAGCAGCGGAGCAAAACAUCGCCUACCGAGAGCACCCGCGUGGGCUGCUCGCCUGGGGGGCAAUUGCGUGGGCUCCUGGACCUCGGCUGUCUUCUGCCAUUGCAUACAGUGCAAGUGUUAAAAGGAUGAUAACUAAAGGCUCCUGCCAAUAUAUGGAAUAUCCUUUUAAAUUGUUUCACCAGUGUUCACAGCUUCAUGUCUUUCCUGCAUGAGUUGGGAUUUGAAGAUGUAUUUGCUUCCAGUUCUAUUGAAUUAAUUGAUGUAUUUGACUGUUCUUUUGCCUUUUUUUUUUUAAACUCAGGAAAUACAUUCUUCUAUUGUGCUGUUUUUCGGGGCGACUUCUGUUAUUUCCUUUCAUGUUUACCACGCUGAUGGAAAUCUGGUUUUGGCUUUAGUAGUAGAUUUUCACUAGAAUGAAUGCUGCGCUUUAUAGAUAACCUUCAAUUGUUCCACAGUAAUAAAAGAUUAUUAAAAGGACAUGGUUCUGCAGAAUGACGUACUGCUCUUCUUGCUGUCCAGGAAAGGAAUUUGCAACAGAUUUUUUUCCUAUGACUCUUCUGGCAAUUGUUUUUCUUUUCUGACAAUCUUUACGUGCUACCCUUAGUUCUUGUGAUUUGCAAUAAUAUUUUUAAAAUGUGUUUUAAUUCUGAAAUGGCACCUUGAAUUGAGGAUAAAUCAUAGCAUGCCUGUGAGAAAAAUAACCAACUGAUAUGGAUGACAGUUACAUUUAUUUGUGCUUUCUACUGUAAACAGGUUUUGGGGGGUGUGAGUCUGUUCAUUAUGUAUUAAUUGAAUGAACUGAGAGGUAACAAAAUGCUCACCCAGAGAUGUUUCUUUGAGAAAAGCUUCACGAGUCUGCAGUGAACAUCCCCAACCCGUAACAGGUGAAACGCAGUUUCAGAAACAGUCACAGGCACUUGUGAAACCUGGGUGAUUAAAUUCAGCCACUUCAGCUUGGUCCAAAGUCCACGGAAAGACUCGGGAUUCUUGUUCUUCCAAACUUUAAGUAGAAGAUAUUCAGCAUAACUGCAGUCAUCCCUACUCCUAAUAUUUCCUCCCCAAAGCUUUUUCCCUGAAACACUUUGUCAGGGACUAGGAACCCGGGCUCUGGUCUGUGAAUCACACCAGUGCAUGCCCGUGCCCAAUUAAAACAUAAACCGGAUGUGGUUUAUGUUCUUUCCUCUUCGUAUAUUUGUCAAGGCAGCUGGCAAGAAGACUCAGGUUAUUUUUUCAGACGGUCCGUGUCGUGCCUGUUGAGAUGGCCAUGUAGGUGUCAGAGGAACACCUCCACCCCAUUGCACGGCAAGGCGGUGAGGUGCCCGAGGUACGGGCGGUUAUUUCUGCCUCUGUGCUCC
ensembl:lncRNA